GACGAACGCUGGCGGCGUGCUUAACACAUGCAAGUCGAACGGUGAAAGCGGAGCUUGCUCCGCUGGAUCAGUGGCGAACGGGUGAGUAACACGUUGGCAACCUGCCCCUCACUUCGGGAUAACUCCGGGAAACCGGGGCUCAUACCGGAUAUGACCUCCUUGGGCAUCCUUGGAGGUGGAAAGCUUUUCGGUGAGGGGUGGUCCCGCGGCCUAUCAGCUUGUUGGUGAGGUAGUGGCUCACCAAGGCGACGACGGGUAGCCGGCCUGAGAGGGCGACCGGCCACACUGGGACUGAGACACGGCCCAGACUCCUACGGGAGGCAGCAGUGGGGAAUAUUGCGCAAUGGGCGAAAGCCUGACGCAGCAACGCCGCGUGCGGGAUGACGGCCUUCGGGUUGUAAACCGCUUUCAGCAGGGAAGAAGCCGCAAGGUGACGGUACCUGCAGAAGAAGCACCGGCUAACUACGUGCCAGCAGCCGCGGUAA
rnacentral:rRNA from 1 species